rnacentral:misc_RNA from 1 species
UACAGAGGGUGCAAGCGUUAAUCGGCAUCAUUGGGCGCAAAGCGCGCGUAGGUGGCUUGAGAAGCCGGUUGUGAAAGCCCCGGGCUCAACCUGGGAACGGCAUCCGGAACUGUCAAGCUAGAGUGCAGGAGAGGAAGGUAGAAUUCCCGGUGUAGCGGUGAAAUGCGUAGAGAUCGGGAGGAAUACCAGUGGCGAAGGCGGCCUUCUGGACUGACACUGACACCGAGGUGCGAAAGCGUGGGUAGCAAACAGG